AAGGUUUGGUCCUAGCCCUUCUAUUAGCCAUCAGUAGGAUUACACAUGCAAGUAUCAGCGCCCCGGUGAAGAUGCCCUCUUAAUCACCAACGAUAAAGAGGAGCGGGUAUCAAGCACACUAUACAGUAGCUAAAAACGCCUUGCCUAGCCACACCCCCACGGGAUACAGCAGUGACAAAAAUUAAGCCAUGAACGAAAGUUCGACUAAGCCAUACUAGCCUACAGGGUUGGUAAAUUUCGUGCCAGCCACCGCGGUCAUACGAUUAACCCAAGUUAAUAGACAUACGGCGUAAAACGUGUUAAGGAAACUACCCACACAAUAAAGUUAAAUCUUGGGUUAUGCUGUAAAAAGCUUUAGCCCAGACAAAAAUAAACCACGAAGGUGACUUUAAACAUAUCCGACUACACGAUAGCUAAGACACAAACUGGGAUUAGAUACCCCACUAUGCUUAGCCCUAAACUUAAGCAGCUAAACUAACGAUGCUACUCGCCAGAGUACUACUAGCAACAGCUUAAAACUCAAAGGACUUGGCGGUGCUUUAUAUCCCUCUAGAGGAGCCUGUUCUGUAAUCGAUAAACCCCGAUAAACCUCACCAACUCUUGCUAAUACAGCCUAUAUACCGCCAUCUUCAGCAAACCCUAAAAAGGAAAUAAAGUAAGCAAAAUCAUAAAACAUAAAAACGUUAGGUCAAGGUGUAGCCUAUGAGUUGGAAAGAAAUGGGCUACAUUUUCUAGUAUAGAACAUCAACGAAAAUUUUCGUGAAACCGGAAAUAGAAGGAGGAUUUAGUAGUAAAUUAAGAACAGAGAGCUUAGUUGAAUUAGGCCAUGAAGCACGCACACACCGCCCGUCACCCUCCUCAAGUAUAAAGAUACAUGCCCAAUCCUAUUAAUAAAUGUACACACACAUGAGAGGAGAUAAGUCGUAACAAGGUAAGCGUACUGG
rnacentral:ncRNA from 1 species